UUUCUCUCAGUCAGACGCAACUUAUAUGCCUCUAGACUACUACGCAACUCUUCAAUUAUCAUGGCGUUGAGGUCCUUAGACUGUUCAAUUGCUACAACAAUCUAAUCAAAUUGAGGAGUAAGUGAUAUCAUUACCUUUUCAAUGAUUUCUUGUUCAGAGAGAGUCUCUCCACAAGAUUUCAUCUCAUUUGUGAUCAGAAUCACUCUGGAGAUGUAAGCAAGUAACUUC
rnacentral:lncRNA from 1 species